AGUGAAUGAAUUUGACAGGUGUGGUUAGGUUGCCUAUGAUUCGUAUGGGAUUGAACGCUGUGAAACAGGAGUAAUGCAGUGUGAAUGAUAUAUUGGAAGGACAUUUCUCGUGGGUUGGUAUUAGAGCAUUACAGUGGAAGGAUUCAUCUAUAAAAAUAUUUUCAAUGGUGGGCCAACUUGCGGGGAGAGACAUUGGCAAUUAUCGGAGGAUUUUGAAGCAUUUGAAGGUGUCAUGCUGAUAUUUGCAGAGACUGGAACUGGAGGCUUUUCUGUGUUUUAAUUAUCUGGGCCCUGCCCAUGUUUUCAAUCGCAUUUUAAUUACGUUGUAGAAGUGACAGUGUUAAUUGAAUAGUUUUUCCGU